UCCAAUCACAGCCUCGUGAAUACAGAGUCUGUCUGCCACAGAUAUGCGAGGCUCCUGUUGUUUGUUCCGUACAAGUGACUCUGUUUUCGGUUUUAAUAACUUGCUGAAGUCGACACGACGCUGUUUCCCUGGAGGAGAAGAUGAGUGCGUGGGAAAGCAAAGCUGAGGGCCCGGUGUGGAGGAGUCGAAGCGGAGAAGACGGACGCACAGUCCCUGAACAAAGGAAACUCUCCCUCUUCACAGCUGUGAUGAAAAUGGCCGGCGGAGCGAGGUUUUGUUUUCACAGCCGGAUUCCUGCACACAAUGACGCAGUCACUGCACAUUACGCCGAGACUCGCUGAAAGUCCGCAUUUGCAGUACCUGCCUGUACUAUGACGUCCUAAGACCCACUAUGAGCCGGUAUGAAGGAGCUUCCAGUACAACAAACCGGACCUUGCCUCAGCAUUGAGGAGUUCAGGAGACGGCAGAGAAAAAAGAGGCUGAUUGAAGCGGGACAGAUGACAUCGAUCCAUCCUUCCACAGCCAGGACUUCACCGACCUGUGUGCCACACUUCAAAUAAGACUAGAAGCUACACAGGAUCUCACAGCUACACACCACAGACGUCAGAUUCGGACAGAGUCCCACAAAGAACAUAUGACCCAGAGGCUGCAAAGAGACAUUUCAAGCUUCACCUGAUUAGCUUUUCACUGGCUAGGCCAGUUGUGUUUGUACAAUAUUUGUGCUGUAUAUAAAUAAAGCUUUGAC